rfam:Musa acuminata subsp. malaccensis Doubled-haploid Pahang (DH-Pahang) genomic chromosome, chr11
GGCCCGAUGCCACGUCACCAGUAGCUUAUGCAUUGACUGGUGAUGCUAUGAUCUGGCCAAGAUCAAGUCCUGGUUGGACAUUUUGCAUGCUGAUAGGAACCUGUGGAUAAGAUCCAUGUUCAUCCACGGAGCCGAUUUCUGCGAUCACAAUU